UACGGGGGGGGUAAGCGUUGUUCGGAAUUACUGGGCGUAAAGGGCUCGUAGGCGGCCAACUAAGUCAGACGUGAAAUCCCUCAGCUUAACUGGGGAACUGCGUCUGAUACUGUCGGGCUAGAGUCCGGAAGAGGCGAGUGGAAUUCCCGGUGUAGCGGUGAAAUGCGCAGAUAUCAGGAGGAACACCAAUGGCGAAGGCAGCUCGCUGGGACGUUACUGACGCUGAGACGCGAAAGCGUGGGGAGCAAACAGG
rnacentral:rRNA from 1 species